CUUCAAACAAUAUGCUAGCGGGCUAUAGUGCAUAAACAUAAAUCCUAACAAUAGGCCUAUAAGCCUGGGAAUGUCUUAGGAAUCAAAACAUAAGUACUGCAUCAUGCGACUCAAUAUUGAUGAUAUGGAGAAAAAAUAUCUAAAGAGUCAUGCGCUCUGAUACUUUCUUGCUCUUGAGGCGGAGAGAAACAGAAUUGCAUUGCUGCUCUUGUGGCAAGCAAGUUAGGGGAGAUCCAAUCAAUGGAAGAUGGAAUUCAAAUGAAAGAAUUAAAAGUUAAAUGAGAAAGAAAGGCUCCAAUGACCAAACGCCAACAGGUCCGGUGUGGCUUUGGUUUUGGCUGAAAAAAAGAAGGGAUACCGAUCUGUCGUUUUUUACUUCAUAGGGGUUGAGUGUUGGGUUCUUGAGGAGGGGAGCGACUCUGGUUAUCUUGAAGUCAGAGGGGAUGCAUCCAGUGGUCAGAGAUGAGUUGAUGAGGCCACAGUGUCACAGGCCGUCUGGUUUGACACUGUGAGGCACCUGAGGUCGACACCGAUGGCCUCCAGGUCACCAUGGAGACGGCUGAUGACAUCACUUGGCAAUGAUCGUGUCCGGGAAACAAUCCAGGCAAAGUCGACGGAACAGACCAAAUAAAUCAAUUCACAUUCCAA